rnacentral:lncRNA from 1 species
CUCCGCUUGUCUUGGAUGCAUGAAGAUUUUCUUUGCCUACCUGUCCGUGUGAUGCGCUCAUUCGGCGGCACUGCCUUGAUAAGUUUUUCUGCACCGCCUUUGACUGCGUAGCUCCUACCAAAAAGCAACAACGGAGUGCAAGGCACUUGCACGACUCCGUCGCGGGUGACGGUUUUGACCCUUUUGACAGUGUUGUAAUAGUAUCGAAAACCUUCCGUGUACUUGAAUCCUCAACCCAGUACAUAGCGCUCCACCGUACCACACUUCGGGAAUACCCAGAAUCGUUUUUCUCUGACUCCGGAAGUCCUUGUCCCCCAGCGUUCAAGAACGUCAAGGGGCAGGCAAAAUGGUGCCUGGAAUGCACUCGGCCGUAAUAUCAGGAUUACCUAUACGUGGACAAGAGAAGAACGAUAUUCACAAACAAAGGAUGAUGUUCGCUCUGUCGAUGUAAUUCAAGUGAAGCAGACAGACUUGAACCAUCUACGAUCAACUGCGUCAUACAUUAAAAACUGCCAAGACGGAGGCGCGACGAAGUGCGUAUCCUAUUUGCCAGGUCUUAAAAUACCUCGAUGUCCCUACAGAAAUCCC